rnacentral:rRNA from 1 species
CGUUCCGGGCCUUGUACACACCGCCCGUCACGUCACGAAAGUCGGUAACACCCGAAGCCGAUGGCCCAACCCGCAAGGGAGGGAGUCGUCGAAGGUGGGACUGGCGAUUGGGACG